rnacentral:tRNA from 1 species
AUUGGUACAGCUCAAUGAUAGAGCAUGUGCUUAGCAUGCGUGAGGUCCUGGGUUCAAUCCCCAGUACCUCUA